rnacentral:misc_RNA from 1 species
UUACCACACCGAUCCAAGAUCUGUCUUCAUUGUGAAUCUGAUUUCAGUGGCAGUCUCUGGCUGUUCUCUGUCGUCAACUUUAUUGUGGUCCUGGCUUGCCCGCACCUAGUGUGCCGCCAAGUCAGCACCAGUGACCGCUGCUCCGGUACUGUCACACCCCCAUUCUAUAUGGUAACUGGAAAGAACCAAAUGACCUUAAGCUAAAAGUGCAGCUGGUAUGGUGUGAAGCCUCGUGCCCACACCACCCU